UACAGAGGGGGCAAGCGUUGUUCGGAAUUACUGGGCGUAAAGGGCGCGUAGGCGGCCUUCUAAGUCGAACGUGAAAUCCCUGGGCUCAACCCAGGAACUGCGUCCGAUACUGGAAGGCUUGAAUCCGGGAGAGGGAUGCGGAAUUCCAGGUGUAGCGGUGAAAUGCGUAGAUAUCUGGAGGAACACCGGUGGCGAAGGCGGCAUCCUGGACCGGUAUUGACGCUGAGGCACGAAAGCCAGGGGAGCAAACGGG
rnacentral:rRNA from 1 species